AAACAACUUAAUUUUCAUUUCGUAUACAUAAAAUCAGUAAAAAUGAUUUUGCCGUGCUAUAAGAUAGCACGCGUUGUAAUCAGAACUUGCAUAUACUCUGCAUUCAGAUUUGUUUCGUGCUACUUUCUCGUAUAUUAUUAACUUUUCCUGGUGUUGUCGCUGCUCUUUGUGCUUUCAGUAACCACGCGAGCGUCAUACUUCUCUGAUGGUACAGAAGCCGCCACAUAAUGAGCUGCCAUGACAACAACGAAAGCCAUAAGGCAGCUACUGCUACGACGACGGCGACUGCUACUGCAAUUGCAGAACGUCUACUUUGCAAAUUACUUUCACGCUUGCACAUACUCCUACAUAUCCAGAACCACGCACAAGCAGAAAAUCUCAGUUCGCUGGUCGUUCUCUGUGGCUGUCUUUGGUGGUAGUAGGGAUUGCAUGCGAGAAACUGUCGCACUCGGGACUGCUAAGCACUUGUGACAUGUCGUGUCGCAUGCAUAUGCAACAUUUGUUUUCGCUGCGCCGACAUAAUUUGCGUCAAAGUGCUAUGGAAAGUGUGCAGCUGAAAAAAAAGGCAAAAUAAUAACGGAAUUCCUUUAAUUUUCACGCCACUACAAGACUAGGUAGCACCAGCUCCACCAGCCACAACCAACACACACCAUACACCAUACACUGCAGACGCUGUAAGAGCCAGCGAGACAUUGACAACAGUGGCCCAGAGGCAACUGGAGGUAAGCUCGAGUCCCAGACCGGCAACUUGAACGGUUAAGUACUGCGCACUCUCCCACAGCAGUCAAGUCAACUGAAAACGUGACAGGAUAUCCGGCUGCUGCCGCUGCUCGUCCUGCUCCUGCUGCUCCAUUGCUCUGCCUUCUAUGUCGUUGGUGAUUACGUUGCCCACAGCCCUCUGCAUCUGCCUCUGCCAGCAUGCAAAUGAUAAAACGGAUGAGAACGUAGCACUUAAUGUGCGUCACAUUAUAAUUUGGCAGCUGAAUGGCAUUUCCCUCCACUUACAACACGAAUCCCUUCAAUGCAGUCAAUUAAUUUGGUAAUAUAUUUAUAGCUAGCCAUGGCUACUGCUCCAGAACUCAUUAAAAAGAGUUGGCACAAAAGUACAAAUUCCAUGCCUUUUCCUAAUAUGCACAAAAUGUGCAGACAAAGUUUUUGGAAUACAAAAACUAAAAAUAUA